AACAUGGAACAUCAGGGAGCAAUGCAGCCGGCCUCUUGCUCAGACAGUUCUGGUGUGCUGUGCUCACCAACACCGGAGAAACUGCAAACAGCCGUCUUCCAAUAGCUGGCUUAAGCUAAGGAAGGUUCCACAAUUCUGGACCAAAUGGACAAAGAGAGAAAUCCAGGGGACUUACUAAAGAGAAUUAAGCAACAAAACAGCACCAAACUUGACUUCAACGUUAGAGCAGUGAUGCAAUCUACAAAGCAUAUACAACAUAUUUCUAAUGCUCAGAAUUAACACGUGGUCAUACUUUAAUGCCUGAUGUUUGACCAAUUAAAAACUCAGCAGCUGGAGCAGCAUGCUGAGGUUCUAAAGGAGGAGAUGGUCAGAAGGAAUGGCCAGUGCCAACAGAUGCAGAGACUCGAUGGUCAAGGGCUGCAGUUGAGAAGGAAUCGGCUGUUUUUGAAGAUGGGGACCAAUGUGUCCAGAGCCAUUGGGCUGUGACCCGAGAGAGAGAGAGAGCGUACUGAAGGCAUUGUAGAUUCCUACUGAUGAGUAAAACGCGAAGUGUCCUCCCAUGAUUCAGGAAGCAGUCACCAAAUCCGCCACCUCUCGGAUCUGCAGCCAUUUGGCAUGAGGCAUCACUAUGUUUGUAGCAAUGAAGAUCAUAAUGGCUUUGAACUUGUUAGUCAAGGGAGGCAAUGGCCUAGUGGUCUAAUGGCUGGGCUAUUAAUCCAGAGACACAGCUAAUGUUUUUGGGACCUGGAUUCAAAACUUGCCAUGGCAGGUGAUGGAAUUUGAAUUCAAUAAAAUUCUGAAAUGGUGACCAUGAAAUGUUGUCGAUUGUUGGAAAAUAAAUCUGGUUCAUUUUAGGGAUAGAAAUCUGCCCACUUUACCUGGUCCGACC